rnacentral:rRNA from 1 species
AACGGGGGGGACAAGUGUUACUCAACUUGACUGGGCGUAAAGGGCAAUUAGACGGCUUCGCCAGUCUCGGAUCAAAGUCUGGAGCUCAACUCCAGUUCGGUUUGGUAUACGGCGAAGCUUGAGUCCGGUAGGGGGCAGCAGUACCCCCAGUGUAGAGGUAAAAUUCGGUGAUAUUGGGGGGACUAGCAAUGAGCGAAGGCCGCUGCCCGGUCCGGCACUGACGUUGAAAGGCGAAAGCGUGGGGAGCAAACAGG